GGCGCUUCUUUCAACGUGGCCAGGCUGGGAGCACUAGGGUAGCAGCUCACAGCGCUGCCACAGUAAUGUGCUAUCCGAUCGAUCGAUCUUGGUCUCGGGUUUAGCUUCUAGAGGUUUCCGGCUUCGCCACAGCUAGUGGUUUCUUCCUCCGGCCUAUGGCACCGCUAGAAAAUCCUCCAAACCGACUCAGCCCUUGAAGAACAGAUCGAGAUUUAGGAGGAACAAGAGAUUGCACGAAAGGUCUUGCGUUGGGAGCUCGACCGGUGCCUAGCUGCUCUAUGGAAGAUUUGCCGUUCAAACGGAGAGUGCUCAUGAGAUUGAGCUCCAUCUAUAAAUUCAAUCCUUUAUGAGAUAUGAGUGCCACGUCUGCAUUUGACAAGGUGAUGCCGCGAUUCAAAUUUCUGGCGCUUGGAUGCCCGGUGCCUCAGCAUGGGUAAUACCAUAUGUAUUGAAAUAUCACAUAUUGAAUGAUUUUGGAACAGCUUAUGCACAACAAGGGAACUCUUUUGAUUAUAUAUACACAUUUGUGGGCUCAGCUGGAGGCAUUUACAAUAUACAAAUUGAUUUCCUUGUCCUAAUUUUAAUCUUGGAUUCCCCUUCUUUUGCCAAUGUCAAAAUUACUUUUGCCUGUUGAACUUUACUAGACCAAAGACAAGAAAUCCAUUUGCAUCCAUUGCAUUGUGGUUUAAUGCAUUUAGUUGUUGGGUGUUACAUGUAUACUUAUUCUUUCAAAGCCUAGAAAAAAAA
rnacentral:lncRNA from 1 species